rnacentral:rRNA from 1 species
UAGUCAUAUACUUGUCUCAAAGAUUAAGCCAUGCAUGUCUAAGCACAAGCCGAUUAAUGGUGAAGCCGCGAAUGGCUCAUUACAACAGCCAUAGUUUCUUAGAUCUUACUUUUCUACUUGGAUAACUGUGGUAAUUCUAGAGCUAAUACACGCAAACAAGCUCAGACCUUACGGAAUGAGCGCAUUUAUUAGAACAAAAACCAAUCGGGCUUCGGUCCGUCAUUUGGUGAAUCUGAAUAACUUUGCUGAUCGCACGGUCUUCGUACCGGCGACAUAUCUUUCAAAUGUCUGCCUUAUCAACUUUCGAUGGUAGUUUAUGCGCCUACCAUGGUUGUAACGGGUAACGGAGAAUAAGGGUUCGACUCCGGAGAGGGAGCCUGAGAAACGGCUACCACAUCCAAGGAAGGCAGCAGGCACGCAAAUUACCCACUCCCGGCACGGGGAGGUAGUGACGAAAAAUAACGAGACGGCUCGCUAUGCGGUCCGUCAUCGGAAUGGGUACAAUUUAAAUCCUUUAACGAGGAUCUAUU